UCCCUGGUGGUCCAGUGGUGAGGACUUUGAGCUUUCAAUGCCAACGGUCUAGGUUCAAUCCCUCGUCAGGGAA
rnacentral:tRNA from 1 species